UACGUAGGGUGCGAGCGUUAAUCGGAAUUACUGGGCGUAAAGCGUGCGCAGGCGGUUGGUUAAAGGUCUGACUGUGAAAGACCCCGGGCUCGAACCUGGGAAUGGCAUUGGAAACUGGCUAGCUGGAGUGUGGCAGAGGGGGGUGGAAUUCCGCGUGUAGCAGUGAAAUGCGUAGAGAUGCGGAGGAACACCGAUGGCGAAGGCAGCCCCCUGGGCCAACACUGACGGCUCAGGCAACGAAAGCCGUGGGGAGCAAACAG
rnacentral:rRNA from 1 species